UGCACCAUAUGAUCCUAUACCGCCUUGCUAUUUUCAACAAAACAAAAUGUUUUAUCAUUGGACUGAUAAUUAGAAGGGAUUUUAGAGAGCAUCUCCUUUCUUUCUGCAAAGGAGACGUUAGUCUUGAGCAAAGGUCACACAACUAAGAAGUAUCAAAACUGGAUUUCCAAUCUACGUUCUCUGACUCCGAAUCCAUGAUCUACUUAACCUCGUUCACCUCCUCUCGCACCCCAAAGCUGCAGCACCUCUUAUCCCCCCGUAUUCCUAAGGAACCAACGCGGCAACUAACACCGUCAGCAGCCUCCGCGUCCAUCAAUUCCUGCCAGGAGCCGUAGUCCCUCGAAGACGCGGGGUAUGCUGGGAUUUGUAGUUCUCCAUCCUCGGCCACCACCACCACCCCCUCCCCCGACUGAGAAAGGUUGCCCAGGGCCCCCACUCACCUCAGCCGCCACUUCGCUUGCCAUGGUCUUCGAUGCACGAGAGCUUCCCCCUGGAAGAACCAGAAGCGCCGCCGCCGCUGCUAGCGCCGUUCCCUCAGACUCCGGGCCAGACGCCGGCCCCUACUUCCUCAGCCCCAGCAGCCUCAGCUCCCGCCACUGCCGUUCGAGCUUUCGCGCUCAGUCGGGGCUGAGGCCCCACCUCUACCGUUUCCGACCAAUCCCCGCAGCACUCUUGCUGACGUCACGGAGAUCCCACCUCCCACUUGGCUGCGCCGAGGGCUUGCUCGGGUUUAGCGGGAGGUGCUUGGCGCGCGCUUGUCUCCCCGCCCUUUGCAGGGUUAAUAUGAAACAUAGAAGCUGCCUCUACUCCUCCAAGACUGUGAAUUUGAAGUGUGGAAGCUGCAGACAACCUCAGUGAUUCAGGAAGAGGAACUGUUUUUAUGAGAAGGGUAAAGUAUGAUUCUUUGCUCAGAAACCUGGCAAAGCUAAGCAAUAAAGUUUUGGGGUUUUUUUGCUUUCA
rnacentral:lncRNA from 1 species